AUAUGUGAUCAUAUUAGCGUUAAUGCACCAGAUCUCAUCAAAAUUAUGCAAUUAAGUGUGCUUGGGCUGGGGUCUAGAGUAGUACUAUGGUGGGUGACCUCUCGAGAAUUCCUAGUGUUGCACCCU
rnacentral:rRNA from 1 species